UUACUCAUUUUCUUAUAACUUGGUAAGUAAAAAGAGUAUACAUAAUAUUAGUUAUUUAUUUAUUUUUUUUAACAUAUUUCAAAUUGAUAUUGUCCUAAAACAAAUAAAACUGUGGUACUAUCAUACUUAAGUAAAUUUAUACUUCCUUCUUGCAUAUUGUAAUUGUUCUCAAGUGUGUUACUUUUCCAAAUUUUGAUGUUUUUGAAGACCUAAUAUAUUCAGCCUAAAUUUCAUCUUAACUACCAGCUUGAAUAAACAUGGCAACAAAGGUUUGUUAGCUUUAUGCAGGAACAUAAUGAAACGUAGGGCAACAACAAACUUGGAAUUAGAAUUGCAUGGAGGACUUUCUUAGGGUUCAAAUUCGCAGUCCCAUACUUCCCAUGGUUCACAAGAAGAGGACGUGGGGACUACUGAAAGCAAUGAGUUAAUAACACCAAAGAAGACUCGAGGCCCCACACGCUGCGCAAAUAUGGUACAACAUGACACCAAAAAGAAUGGCUUGAUACCAUUAAGUGUGAAUGAGCAUGGACAGCCUAAUGGAGCCGAUGAAAAAAAUUUCGCUAAUUAUUUGGGCACAAUUGCCCGUAAUGGUCUUGCAGCUCCCUUGAACUACAAAAAUUGGAGGAAAGUCCUUGAAAUAGUUAAAGAGGACAUGUGGACGACGGUCCGGGGCAAGUUUGCAGUAGAAGAAAUCUCAAAAGAUUGGACAUUAUCAUCCCUUGGUCAUAAAUGAAGAGAUUGGAAGAGUGAAAUUAAAAGUAACUAUUAUAAAAUUUGGCGUACAGAUGAACAACGAUAUGCAAACCCACCACCAAGUGUUGAGGAGGACCAACGGGAUUAUCUCAUUAGAUAUUGGCGUACAGAGGCAGCACAGAAACAAAGCCAACAAAAUGAAGUAAAUUGCUCUAAGCAAACAAUGCUGCACACAACUGGGACAAUGAGUUAUGUGCGGAAGGCUGAAAAGGUUAAGUCUGUUGUUUUUUUUUUUUUAAGUUAAUCACUUGUAUGUCACACAAUUUAUUAUACAUCAGUGCGAUAUAAUUAUAAUAACAUAUAUAUAUAUAUAUAUAUAUAUAUAUAUAUAUAUUAAAAAAAAAAAAAAAAAAAAAAACAAAUGAAGUUGGAAUCAGGGAAGGCGCCAACUCAUGCUCAACUAUUUUGCGCAAUACAUAAGAGCAAGAAGGAUGGCAAAGCUAGUGAUGAACAUGCUGCCAAAAUGAUUACACAACUAGAAGAGCUUGCUGCAACUCAGCCUUCUAACCCAGAUGAACCUUCACCCCAUGAUUUUUAUGCCCAAGUUAGGGGAGAAGAAAGAAGGGGCCGUGUUAGGAUGUAUGGCUUGGGACCUACGCCAACUAGUCUUUGGGGGCCAUCUCCUAGUAAAGCGGAGCUGAUAAGGAGGACCUCACAAGCAGAGGAAGAGGCACGUCUUGCUCGUGCAGAAAUGAAUGAGAAAGUGGACAAGAUACGUGCCGAGUAUGAUAAAAAAUAUGAAGCUUUGAAUGCAAAGAUGGCUAUGAUUUUGCGUCAUAUCGAAAAUCAAAAUUCUAAUGUACAGGUACCCGGCUCCUCAACUACUACACUUGGUGAUCCUUAAACUUUAUUUUUGGUCAUGGAAUUUCAUCCUUGGGCAAUUUGAAGAAAGACGAGAGAUGAAAUUGAACCAUUAAUUCUCAAGGCCCUCGCAUAGUCUCAUCCAAAUUCUCAAUGAAAUGUUGAUGUUUUAUUUUGCAUGAUUUCCUUUUGAACCUUUUAUUAGCACUUGACAUUUUGAAACAAAACUUAGAUGUUAUGGGAUGUUACUGAAUUUUAAUGCAACUUUCUUUGUUCUAUGUUAUAUAUCAAAUUUAAGUUGUUGGAUGUGUUGUGAUUGGUAAAUUACAUGUGAUUUCAUUAAACAGGGAACAAAAUAAAAUAUUUGCUAAUAUGUAAAUUAAACCAAAAAAAAAAAAAAAAUUUUAAAAAAAAUUAACACAUUACCGGCGGUUUAAAACGCCCCAAAUGAAAAAAUAUUACAGUUCACUUACAAUACACCGACAAUUUAACACGCCCCUAAAAGUAAAAAUUUAUACAUUACCGGCGCUUUAAAUUGCCGGAGUAUAUCAUUAAAAAG